UAGGGGGCAAGCGUUGUCCGGAAUCAUUGGGCGUACAGAGCGUGUAGGCGGCCCGGUAAGUCCGCUGUGAAAGUCCAGGGCUCAACCCUGGGAUGCCGGUGGAUACUGUCGGGCUCGAGUCCGGAAGAGGAGUGUGGAAUUCCUGGUGUAGCGGUGAAAUGCGCAGAUAUCAGGAGGAACACCAAUGGCGAAGGCAGCACUCUGGGACGUGACUGACGCUGAGACGCGAAAGCGUGGGGAGCAAACAGG
rnacentral:rRNA from 1 species